GUGAGAUACUUUUUUUUUUUUUUUUGCCACUCGAGUUACAUCUUUGUUGAUUCUCAUUGAGGUGUUUACUGUUUCAACAUUUGUGAGCAGGUCAGCCCUUCUCAGUUUGAAGCACAUGCUGGUUAGGCUUCUCAUCGCAAGCCGUGAGUGUUCCUUUGAUGUUUUUGGGAGGUUUAGUGAACAUGUGGUUUCUGUGACCACUUAUACAUCAUUAGAUAACUUUUUUCCCCUAAUGCAGUUACCUACACAUCUAUACAUCAAAUGGAGUGUCUCCCCAUGAGUUGUCUAUGAAAUUGUAACAACUGCGGAAGUUAUCCGCUGAGGAAAGCGAUGAUCUUUGCUCAAUCUGUGCAAAUGGAUGAGAUCUUUUAUGUUGUGAUAAUUUCCCAAGGGCUUUUCACAUAGUGUGAAAAGGAGUAUCACAUUGGCUGUUUAAAGGAGCAUAAAAUGGAUGAUCUAAAGACAAGAAAUGGAAUAGGGUUAGUUGCUUCAGCUAUUGCCGCGGGUUUAGGUGCCUCAACACAUACAUUGGGCACCCUCGUCCCUGUGUGUAGACGUCCCCGAACGCCCCGGGAGGGAUGAGGUCCC